GGGGUUGUGGCUCAGUGGUAGAGUGCUCCCUUAGCACGUGUGGGGCACUGGGUUUGAUCCUCAGCACCACA
rnacentral:tRNA from 1 species